CUUCAAUUCUUCACAUAUUCUAGAGAUUAAUCCUCUGUCUGUCAGAAGAGGAGCAGCCAAGAUUUAUCUCCCAUUCUGUGGGUUAUCUCUUCACUCUCUUUCCUUGGCUUGCAGAAACUUUUCAUUUAGUUUGGUUCCAUUUUUUGAUCCUUGCCAUCAUUUAUUAUUAUUAUUAUUUCCUAUACUAUUGUUACUGCUAUUAUUUCCUAGACUACUGGGUAGACUGAGUUCUGAACCUACCCUGCAGUUUGGAUAAUGUGGUCAUCGGGGCCAGAGUCAGAGGCAGGCUCACAUUUGGCCUACAGGAUUGGCAUCCAUUUCCUGAGCUGGCAUCCACCCCUAGUGAUUGGAGUUGCCUAACUGGAUGAGCCCAUGCUCUGCAAGUUGUCAGAGAGAAGAGUCUUGGAGAGCCCACUUCAGCCACUCCACAAUCAGCCAAAGCACUGUAUGCUGCCCUUCAGCCCAUAAUGCUGGUCAGAGCCAGUCCUAUGGCCCUAUUGAGGCCAGGAAGCCUAGACUCAUCAUGUGCCUGGAAGAUGGACAGCCACAGGUGUUCAGAGAGUCCUCAAAGGCCAUCGCCCAGCUAACUGAUCUAAAUAGCCUGUUGAGUGCCGG
rnacentral:lncRNA from 1 species